UGGGGAAUAUUGCACAAUGGGGGAAACCCUGAUGCAGCAAUGCCGCGUGUGUGAAGAAGGCCUGCGGGUUGUAAAGCACUUUCAGUAGGGAAGAAAAGCUCCGGGUUAAUACCCCAGAGUCUUGACAUUAGCUACAGAAGAAGCACCGGCUAACUCCGUGCCAGCAGCCGCGGUAAUACGGAGGGUGCGAGCGUUAAUCGGAAUUACUGGGCGUAAAGCGCGCGUAGGCGGCAAGGUCAGUCGGAUGUGAAAGCCCCGGGCUUAACCUGGGAACUGCAUUCGAUACUGCCUUGCUAGAGUAUGGUAGAGGGAAGUGGAAUUCCGGGUGUAGCGGUGAAAUGCGUAGAUAUCCGGAGGAACAUCAGUGGCGAAGGCGACUUCCUGGACCAAUACUGACGCUGAGGUGCGAAAGCGUGGGGAGCAAACAGGAUUAGAUACCCCUGUAGUCC
rnacentral:rRNA from 1 species